GGCCGGUUGGCUCAAUGGUAGAGCAUUCGCCUCCUAAAUCGGAUACGAGUCACAAAAGUGACAGCGAAAGGUUGUGGGUUCGAGUCCCAUGCUGGUCG
rfam:Macrophomina phaseolina MS6 contig00523, whole genome shotgun sequence.